UGGGGAAUUUUGGACAAUGGGGGAAACCCUGAUCCAGCCAUCCCGCGUGUGCGAUGAAGGCCUUCGGGUUGUAAAGCACUUUUGGCAGGAAAGAAACGUCGCGGGUUAAUACCCCGCGAAACUGACGGUACCUGCAGAAUAAGCACCGGCUAACUACGUGCCAGCAGCCGCGGUAAUACGUAGGGUGCAAGCGUUAAUCGGAAUUACUGGGCGUAAAGCGUGCGCAGGCGGUUCGGAAAGAAAGAUGUGAAAUCCCAGAGCUUAACUUUGGAACUGCAUUUUUAACUACCGGGCUAGAGUGUGUCAGAGGGAGGUGGAAUUCCGCGUGUAGCAGUGAAAUGCGUAGAUAUGCGGAGGAACACCGAUGGCGAAGGCAGCCUCCUGGGAUAACACUGACGCUCAUGCACGAAAGCGUGGGGAGCAAACAGGAUUAGAUACCCUGGUAGUCCACGCCCUAAAACGAUGUCAACUAGCUGUUGGGGCCUUCGGGCCUUGGUAGCGCAGCUAACGCGUAAGUUGACCGCCUGGGGAGUACGGUCGCAAGAUUAAAACUCAAA
rnacentral:rRNA from 1 species